rnacentral:lncRNA from 1 species
AAAAUUCAAGUUCAAGGAUCAAACCAAGGGCCUGGUGGGAAAUAAAAUAUGUCUCAACCACCAGGCCAUGAGCAGCUAGUUGGAUGAUAUGCCCAUCCGCUAAUACACAUAAAAACUAUCAGAAACCAAAAUUUUAAAAAAUAAAAUAAAAGUUGGGCCAUGGGGUGGAAGGAUAAGAGGGACAUCGCUAAGUAAUAAAGAUGGGCCUAAGGCCCAUCACCAACCCUAAUUUAAAAUAAAAUUUAAAUGAAUAAAAAGAGAAAAGGAAAAAAAUCAAAUGG